rnacentral:rRNA from 1 species
GAGGGGCAAGCGUUGUUCGGAAUUACGUGGGCGUAAAGGGCGCGUAGGCGGCCUGCUAAGUCGAACGUGAAAUCCCUGGGCUCAACCCAGGAACUGCGUCCGAUACUGGUUGGCUUGAAUCCGGGAGAGGGAUGUGGAAUUCCAGGUGUAGCGGUGAAAUGCGUAGAUAUCUGGAGGAACACCGGUGGCGAAGGCGACAUCCUGGACCGGUAUUGACGCUGAGGCGCGAAGGCCAGGGGAGCAAACGGGAUUAGAUACCCCGGUAGUCCUGGCCCUAAACGAUGAAUGCUUGGUGUGGUGGGUAUCGAUCCCUACCGUGCCGAAGCUAACGCAUUAAGCAUUCCGCCUGGGGAGUACGGUCGCAAGGCUG